rnacentral:rRNA from 1 species
UACGUAGGGGGCAAGCGUUGUCCGGAAUCAUUGGGCGUAAAGAGCGCGUAGGCGGCCCUGUAAGUCCGCUGUGAAAGUCAAGGGCUCAACCCUUGGAUGCCGGUGGAUACUGCAGGGCUAGAGUCCGGAAGAGGCGAGUGGAAUUCCUGGUGUAGCGGUGAAAUGCGCAGAUAUCAGGAGGAACACCGAUGGCGAAGGCAGCUCGGUGGGACGGUACUGACGCUGAGGCGCGAAAGCGUGGGGAGCGAACAGG